UAAUUCUCCAUGGUGGUUGUUCCAUCACUUUACCUAAAACUCCUAUGAUUACUCAGAAGAGAAUAGAUAAUGGUUUUGAUUAUCUGACCAUUUCAAAAAUUCAUCCCCAAAACUGACUCAUUCAAAAUGUACUGCUACUUGCAUGGCGUGUCGGGAAGAUGGCCUUGAGGUUUUUGAUGGUUCUGAAUGCUUCACAUGCUUACAACUACUCAGGUACAGUUUCAUGCCUUGCAUCUCACAAUUUAUGUGUUCCACCUUCAUCAAGAUUCAAGCUUAAAACACACACAUUGAACAUUAUGAUAAGAACACUAAAGUUGGGAAACGUAUGCUAAAAGUCUUCAUAAAUCCUGCCAGCAAAUACGAAAAGAUGGCAAUCAAGGUUUAGUAGUGAUGAAGAUCAAGAGAAACGAUGUUGUUUAUCUACAUUCAUUGUGUUGCAUCAAUACGGAGUUGUGUUCUUCAUGGGAUGGAGUAGUGUUUUCUUCAUUUGGGGUAUAGAAAGUUAGGAAACUACAUUCAUUUGUGGUUGGAUAGUUUGUACAAUUUUAUUGUAAUAUAUUUUAUGAUUUUUUUUUUAAA